ensembl:lncRNA
UGUUCUCACAGAUAUGAAUGAGUAGAUAGGACACGCCCCUUUGAGCUGCGUGCUACAGAGAGGCUAAGCUAGUGGGGGAAAAGUUUCAGUGCAUUCCGUUGAUGUAGACGGCGUAAAAACGGAAACAAGAAGUAUGCCGGCUCACUGUGCUGCAUACAAUUACACACUACGUCGUACGAUUGAGACAAGGAAACCUGGAAUGACUUUUCAUAGGUUUCCCAGAGACUAUGGGUUGAGGAGGAAUUGGAAGUUUGUCGGCUUAGACCUGGUGUCAUUCCAUCAGUGUUAAACUUCCCGGCUCAUCUUGGAAGAGUACGUGCCAGAAAGACCACGACCAAGUAGCCUUGAGAUCUUAGGCAGCGUCUCCCUGAAGUGGGUGUCAACAGUGUUCACAGUCAGGUCCCUCUCUAUCUCGCUACACAUCCACCAACCACUGGAACACAUCUCCAAAGUUCUGCCAGGCCAGCUCAGCUUCCCCUCAGAAGAAGUGCCGCCACCUGCCAGAUGAAGGAGCCUUUUGAGAGGCAGCUGGCAUCGUGAUUGGACUGUACUUUGGUCUGUUCCAAUCCAGCUUCAGCUCCAGAGACGGCAGGCGGGACAAGUCAACGGAGGCCGGGUGGACAAAGGCAUGCAGCUGAGUACAAUCCAGAAAACAACAGAGGAGGAGUGCAGUGACCCAGGGCCAGAACAAACAACCAAAGAACUACAGACUCUUCACAACCUGCUCAAACUCUUGGUACAGGACCUCACCACACGGGUCAAGAAGGUUUCCGUCUCAUUUCUACUCUGAAGAUCACCUUCUCCUGCUCAAACUGCUGACAAAUGUUUCUGCUGCUCUAAAGUCUGGUCUCCCAAACUUCCUAAAAACUCUCAAAGUCUCUUCUGCUGCAGGUUGCUUUGUAGAACUGUUCCAGAAAACCUCACUAAACCACGUGGAGGGGCCUCAAGAUAGUCAUCCAAAUGAAACCGUACAAAAACCAAACUAUCACAACCCAAACGCUAAAGUCUCCUGCAGCCUACCAGAGAACCUCUGAGAACAGAGAAUCAGGACAGGAACUCUUACCUUCUGGACAACCAACCGUGGUUCUCAAACAAGAAUACAGAAUGUGUCUGACCAAAAACCUCUGAAGACUCACUACAGCCAAGAUAAAGACACAACUCAGCUGCACCAAAUCCACUAAUCACUGCACACAUUAGCACCAUGUGCUCACUGUGGCUAAAGAACCACAUUUACCAAGACAACUAUCCAGUACAAAGCCCUAAAACACACCAAGAAACACAUUAAAGAUGAUUUUACUGCUGGAAGCUGCAAGCCAACGCCUAAAGAACAACCUAAAGCAACGGAGCCAAACCCAGUUCAGUGGUGAACAGAAGUAGAGGAAAUGUUUGCCUGCAGCUAAAUAAAGCAGGAAGACACUGAGCUGCCCAGGUGUUCCUGAUAACACCAAGCAGCCACCUGGACAGCCAAUAGGAACACAGCUUACUGGAAGUCCAGAGGGCUGGGUUAGUGAAGGAAAUUUAGUUUAAAGUUGAGGCA